UACAGCCAUAUCACAUUGAAAUACCUGUUCCUGUAUGAUCACCAAAGUUAAGCAACAUCGAGUUUGGUCAGUACCUAGAUGGGUGACCACUUGAGAAUACCAGGUGCUGUAA